rnacentral:rRNA from 1 species
GGUGCGAUUCUGUGGAGUGUAGGAGCUUUAACACCUUCAUGCUUUGCAUAUUCGUGCUCUUGGGUGUACUUGCCCGUGUGGUUGGUUAACAUCAAUUUCGGGUACCAUAAAAUGGCUGGAGGAAUGUAGCUUCGAUCUUGUAUUGAAGUGUUAUAGCCUUCGGUAGAUGUGGUGAUCGAGAUUGAGGAUUGCAACGGAUACCUUUCGGGGCUACCUGUCUGAUCUCUGAUCGUUGCUCUGGUGCCGAAAGCUUG